rnacentral:rRNA from 1 species
UACGUAGGGGGCAAGCGUUGUCCGGAAUCAUUGGGCGUAAAGCGCGUGUAGGCGGCUUGGUAAGUCCGGUGUGAAACCUUGGGGCUCAACCCCAAGCCUGCAUCGGAAACUGCCUCGCUCGAGUCCGGGAGGGGAGAGCGGAAUUCCUAGUGUAGCGGUGAAAUGCGCAGAUAUUAGGAAGAACACCGGUGGCGAAGGCGGCUCUCUGGAACGGUACUGACGCUGAGACGCGAAAGCGUGGGGAGCGAACGGG